rnacentral:SRP_RNA from 1 species
GUCAGGCAUGGUGGUGCAUGCCUGUAGUCCCAGCUACUCGGGAGGCUGAGAUGGGAGGAUUGUUUGAGCCCAGGAAGUUGAGGCUGCAGUGAGGCAUGAUGGUGCCACUGCACUCCAGCCUGGGUGACAGAGCGAGACUCCAUCUCAA